CCAAACAUUUGGUGAUUAUGACAAUUUUCCAUCAAUUGUGUCUUUUUCCUCGUCCUAUAAAAUAUUGAACGGGAAAAGUAUGCCAAAAUUGAUUUGGUGUCUGUGUUCAGACGGAAUAAAGCGGUCUCAGAUUGUGAAGGGCGAUGAUGAUCUACGCCAGGACAGUGUAAUGCAGGAAGUAUUUUCAGUCGUCAAUCAAAUUUUCAGAGAAGAUGCAGAUUUCAAGUCGUUUGGUCUUAGAAUCAGACAAUACAAGGAAUCUAUCUAGUUCUUAUUUAAAGGUUGUAGUCACGUCAAAAUCGACUGGAGUUAUUGAAUUUUGUGAAAAUGCUCAAUAUUUGGGAGACUAUUUGGAUGGUUCCAAGGGAAUGGCUGGAGCCCAUGAACGUUUGAGACCUGGAGACUUGAAAUUAGCACAAUGUCGUGAAAUGAUGAAAAAUUCUGCUAUAGCCGAUUUUCAUAAAAAACUUGAAAUCUUUGAGGAGAUUUGUUCCAAGGUCAAGCCAGUGUUUCGUCAUUUUUUCUACGAGAACUACCUUUCCCCUCCAGUCUGGCACAAAAAUAGAAAUAAUUAUACUAAAAGUGUAGCUACCUCC